UCUUCCGCAAUGGACGAAAGUCUGACGGAGCAACGCCGCGUGAGGGGUGAAGGUUUUCGGAGCGUAAAACUCUGUUGUUAGGGUAGAACAAGUACCGUCCGAAUAGGGCGACACCUUGACGGUACCUAACCAGAAAGCCACGGCAAACUACGUGCCAGCAGCCGCGGUAAUACGUAGGUGGCAAGCGUUGUCCGGAAUUAUUGGGCGUAAAGCGCGCGCAGGCGGUUUCUUAAGUCUGAUGUGAAAGCCCCCGGCUCAACCGGGGAGGGUCAUUGGAAACUGGGGAACUUGAGUGCAGAAGAGGAGAGUGGAAUUCCACGUGUAGCGGUGAAAUGCGUAGAGAUGUGGAGGAACGCCAGUGGCGAAGGCGACUCUCUGGUCUGUAACUGACGCUGAGGCGCGAAAGCGUGGGGAGCGAACAG
rnacentral:rRNA from 1 species